AUAAAUGUCUAGGCUUGUUUCACUUCCUCUCCUUUGUACUUCUGAAUAUAAUAUUUAAUUUAAUCUUAUACAUUGGAAACGAAAGAGAUAGAAUUUACGUUGGUAGCAUGUGUAAAAGCAAACCAGUUCUGCGCACUUCAUAUGCUGGAAUAGUUACAUGCAUACAACUGAGGAGUUUGAUCUUCACUUGCCUAGACAGUUCAUCAUGGGGAAACUUCGUUGAAUGCACCAAAAGAAACAUCUGAAAGAUAACUAAGUUAACUAGGUUCUGUAUGUCUUGUUAUGCUUGUGAUUUCCGACAACAUUGGAACUUACUUUCAUGGUUUGUCAAAUUGACCAAAGAUGAUGCUAGAAAACUGGUUUGUUAUGAUAGAAACUUCUUUGUGAAAUGAUGGCUAGGGGUCUAUCAUAAGAGUAAAACAAGUCUGGACGUAUUGCAGCAGCUACAGUCUGUUAAUAUCAGCCCUGUUAUCAUUUUUGUAUUUUAAAGAUGUGUGUAAGAUAUAGCUUAAUUUCAAAAGAGCUGGUUGUAAAUUUCUGGAAGUUGGUGUCCAAUUAUUUCAAGUGUUGCAUGGAAGACUCCAAUGAUUCCACUACCAAGGUAUGAUCCAAUUAUGCUUCGCACAAAACAAGAAAGCACUUGCAAAAUGUUUCGUUCUUACGACAAACAGCUCCUCGCAAAACAAGCACUUGUAGCACUUAGAAUUGGUUGCUUACAUGUGCUCUGCUGCAUUUUUUAUUUCUAUUGCUCUAUCUUAUCUCUUUGUUGAAAUUGUUUCUAUGGCUUUCCUUUCAUAUCCCAACAGGUUUAUCUGUAAAAUUCUUCGAGUUUGUGAAAAAUGUGUUACAUUUGUUUUUGGACCCGCACAAAAUCUUUUAACUAAAUCCCAACUUAAAAGCUCAAUCUUUCGUCCCAUAAAUGUAACUAAAAUGGUAGCUACCAGAGAUAUUAUCGGAGUGGCCGGGGUUCGAACCCCGAAUUCCACACUUCUCCACAUUUAAAUGUGUGAGAGUCUAGCCACUAGGCUACUUUGACAAAAAAAAAAAAAGAUCUUAAUCUUUCAUUAGUUAAUUUUAAUCACAUAUUCAUAUUGGAUAAAAAUAAUGGAUGAAAGCUUGUCAAAGCAAAAUGACAUUUAAACAAACUGUAUAUAUGCCUUUUCUUUUUCACAUAUUCACUAUGGUU